rnacentral:lncRNA from 1 species
GCGGCCUCCUUCCAGCCUCGGACCCUGCCAUUUCAUCCUACACGCUGACAGUUUUGUCUCCGGAAAAGUGCGCUUUUCACCCUUUUUCUUUCUUCAUCCUAAGCCCACCGUCGGCUGCAUUUCCUUCCCUGUGAACUCUGACCGCCGCUGCUGGCCUCCGAUGCCCGCUCUUAGCUUUCUGUUAUGUGGACAGACCGACCUGUGACCGACCUAAGAUUCCGUGAUACUUGACCCCAAAUAUUUCAGCAAGCAUCUCCUAAGAGGAAGGACAGUUUGCUACCUGAACAUAACACCUUAUUACACCUAAGAAUUUAACAAUAACUACCUAAGUUCAGCUCAUAUUCAGAUUUUCCCAAAUGUCCCAAUGUGUGGAGUUUUUUGUUUUUUGUUUUGUUUUUGUUUUCGGCUGCCCCUCAGCAUGUGGAGUUCCCAGGCUAGGGGUCCAAUGGGAGCUGUGGCCGCCAGUCUAACACCACAGCCACAGCAAUGCGGGAUCCGAGCUGCGUCUGCAACCUACACACAACUCACAGCAACGCCGGAUCCUUAACCCACUGAGCGAGCCCAGGGAUUGAACCCGAAACCUCAUGGUUCCUAGUCGGAUUCGUCAACCACUGAGCCACGACGGGAACUCCCAUAGGCUGGUAGCUGUAGCUACAGUUCAUCCCCUAGCCUGGGAACUUCCAUAUGCCGCAUGUGCGGCCCUAAAAAGCAAUAAAUAAGUAAAUAAAUAAAUAAAUAAAACAUAGAACUACCAUAUGAUCUAGAAUUCUACUUCUGGGUCUGUACUAGUAAGAAGUGUCUUCAGGGGCCCAAACAUAUUUGUACACCCAUGUUCUGGGCAGUGUUAGUCACAAGACCCAAAAGUGGAAAUAAGCUAAGUGUCCAUGGAUGAAUGACUAGAUAAACACGAAGUGGUCUGUACAUACCCUGGAAUAUUAGCCUUAAAAAAGAAGGAAAUAAUGACACAGGCUAUGACAUAGAUGAAUUUUGAGGACAUUAUGCUAAGUGACAAACCAUACACAAAAGGACAAAUACUAUUCCUUUCUUCCUUUCCCUUUUUCUUCCUUCAUCCCUUUCUUUCUCUCUAUCUCUCCCUUUCUUUUCUUUCUUUCCUUCUUUUCUUUCUUUCUCACCCACAGCAUGCAGAGGUUCCCAACCAGAGCCAUAGCAGUGACAACACCAGAUCCUUAACCUGUUGAGUCAACAGGAACUCCUAUGUUUCUUCUUAGAGGAGUCAAAUUCCUAGGGCCGGGAAGAAGGAUGGUUGCUAGGAGCUAGGGGAGGGAGACGGGGAGUUAGUGUUUAAUGGGGACAGAGCUUUGAUCUUGGAAAACAAUAAAGUGCUGGAGAUGGAUGGUGGUGAUGGUUAUACAACAAUGAGAAUGUACUUAAUACCAUUUAAGAAUAGUCAAUGGGGAGUUCCCGUUGUGGCUCAGUGGUUAACAAACCUAACUAAUAUCCAUGAGGAUGCAGGUUCAAUUCCUGGCCUUGCUCAGUGGGUUAGGGAUCCGGCGUUGCUGUGAGCUGUGGUGUAGGUCACAGACGCAGCUCGGAUCCUGCAUAGCUGUGGCUCUGGUGUAGGCUGGCAGCUAUAGCUCCAAUUCAACCUCUAACCUGGGAAUCGCCAUAUGCCACAGGUGCAGCCCUAAAAAGACAAAAGACUGAGAAAAAAAAAAAAAAAAAAGAGCGAGAACAGUCAAAUGGGAGUUCCUGCUGUGGCAUGGCGGGUUUAGAAUCUGACUGCAGUGGCUUGGGUUUCUGCAGGGGCGCAGGUUUGAUCCCCAGUCCAGUGCAGUGGGUUAAAGGAUCCAGCUGCAGCAUAGGUCACAGAUGCAGCGGGGAUUCAAUCCCUGGCCUACGGGAAUUUCCAUGUGCUGAGAGAGCAAGGGUGUGGACAUUUAAGAAAAAAAAAAAAGAACAGUCAAAUAGUAACUUUUUUUCUUUUUUGGUCCAUAGGUGGCCAGUGCUUUUGUUAUUAUUACAGAUAAAGUCUAGUGAUAGGUAUCCUGGGAAGGCUGGAAAAGGAGCAGAGAAAAGAGAAUGUGACCCACUCAAGCCCAGGGCACCUUCUCACCUCUCACCUCACCCCUCCCCUGGAGUGGCUCACUGAAAACUCGGGUGCGGUGCCAGCAGACUGGAAAGCCAGUCUGUCUUCAGGCUGCGUUACAUGGCUCUCUCCCACGUGGCCUGGACACAUGUGUCUGGGAGUCAAAGGGUGGAAGGGACGGAUCGGACUGCACCCUGGUCCCCCGCAGACUGCUCCCUCCCCUGCAGCCACACCAUCCUCCCAUCCACGCUCCCUCCACCCCAGAGGGAGCAGCUGUCCUCCGAUAGGAAACCUCCGGACACCUAGAGUCCUCCUCUGACCACUGUAAGCAGUUAACCAGCCUUCGUGUUAACCUCUCCGUGUUUAGAUUGCUGAUGUGGGUUCUGUCCUGUCUUCAACCUGACCAGCAACCCCCACACGGACCCCCAUGCUCAUCUCUCUGCCUGGACGGGUCUUCCCCUGGACACACAGCUGACGGCUCCUGCAUCCAAACACCUCUGGGGGAGGGGUGGUUGGGGAGGCACCCUGGGCUUGAUCCUGUCACCUCCUUUGCUGUGGAGUUCGUUUUUUGAUCUGACACAGUUCUGUGAGGUGUGUGGUCAAUUACAAACCUGGGGCUUUCUAGUGUUGGCUGAUAACUGCACGGCGGGGCUCUGGGUACGCUGGGCUGCCCAGCACUCUGGCUCAUGGGCACCUGAGGAUUUUUUUUCCCCUUUCUUUCUUCGUUUUUUUUUUGUGUGUGUGUCUUUUCUAGGGCCGCAUCCACAACAUACGGAGGUUCCUAGGCUAGGGGUCUAAUCAUAGCUAUAGCUGCUGGCCUACACCACAGCCACAGCAACACGAGAUCCUUAACCCACUGAGCAAGGCCAGGGAUCGAACCCACAACCUCAUGGUUGCUAGUUAGAUUCGUUAACCAGUGAGCCACGACGGGAACUCCACCUGAGGAUUUUCUAGCCUGACCUGCUGGGCUGAUGUGAUCAGAUAGGCCUAUGGGAGUAGGAGAUGGAGAGUUCGUGGGGCCCACCUACCCCAAAGGCCAUAUGGAAACAGGGAGAGAGCCACAUGGAGCUACACGGAAAGGAGGCUUAGUUCUGCUUGGAACUGGAGGCAGGAAAAAUAAAGCACAGGACAGAGUGUCCUGGGCGUCCACUGACUUUCCACCGUGAGUAACUAACCCAGUUAAUAUCUAAUUCUCCAACCAGUUGAAAAAAUAACCACAUCCCCCUUGUGGGGAGAAGGGGAGAAGUGGGCAGAAGCCCACCUGAGAGGGGAGGGCGUGAAGGCCAGGCUGACAGGAGAGCAAAGCAGCAGGGAGGUUGUCUGCAUUCCAAACUCGGGCAGAGCAAACUCACUAUGGUCAGUCAAGUCUCUUAUCUGCUCCAGCUGGUUUAGAGCUGCGUUUGCAAACUUUGGCACUUUGAUCAUUGCUGUGGCCCAAGGGGCAGGUCCUGGGGGUGCAGCCCGGGUUCUAGAGCUCAGAAUCUGGCUGGGGCACAGGGUUGGGGCAGAGGGGCUCUGCAGAGGAAGAGGGUGGGGGCAAUGACUGGAAACUACAUCGUCCAAGGAGGGGACGUCAUAGCUGUAUCCAACUAAGACACAUUCUUUCCAGGACAAGUUAUGUUACACAGGGACUUAUUCUGGAAAGUUUGUCUCAGUCAGUUUAAUAGCCCCCAAAAGAACCUUGCAUGUUUGUAGUCUUCGAAGUGCCUUAAUAUGCACCAUUUACUUCCCCUCCCCCUCCCCCUCCUUUCCCUCCUACACUGAAAACCAAUUUCGUGUCUUUCCUGAUACUGGAUUUGGGGGCUAGGCAGCUCUUGUGUUUGGUGGACUACCCACUGAAGGCUUCCCAUUCUGUCCCGUCAACCUUUGGCCAUUUUUCUGUCCCCUUUCCACUGGCAGGAAGGCGUGGCGAUGAGGCUAAUUGCUGAAAUGGGAUUGGAGACAAGCUCUGGGCUCAGAUCUCGCAUGUGUGCCUGCCUUCCUCCCGCCAGGAGGCAGAGCCCGGCAUCUGGGGGCUGAGUGGGCUCGGGAGACGGCUAGGAAAUGGGCUGAGACGGCAGAGGGAAGACUCUUGAACCAAAGCAGCCAUUGUUAAGAAAUUUAUUUGCAAUUCUUGUUUUUUGGGUUUUUUUGUUUGUUUUUUAAAUAACAUCAUUCCGUAGAUAAAAAUGCAAUCUUACAGGAAUAUACAUAGCGUCUCACACAGAGAUGGCCCUGAAGCUCUUCUCGUUCCCUGGCCUUUCUCCAGGUGAGAAGGGGCGCAGGCGAGGCCGAUGACACGGGUUAUUUGAUGAUUACAAACUGUACAACCGUAUUUACAACAUGAGGCUGUGAAGCCAGGGGGCCCGAGGGAGGUGUGGGGUGUUGCGGGGUGGGGUGGGCAGCGACGGUCUCUGAGAACAAGCGUUGAUUCGGCGGGUUGGGGAUGAAGGUGGGCUGACUGGGACCAGAGGUGAGGAGGGGCGAGGGGCUGGGUCUGGCCUCUGGCUCGGAGGUGUCCGCUUGUUGCUUGGGGGUGUCCAAAUAAAGAGGAAAAGUCUGCGUGUAACAGACACUCCGGGGCUUCACCCUCCAGGGCCCUGCCACCCUGAUUCCUGGUGGACGGGUGUGUUUCCCGUCACUGCCUUGUCCAAACCUGUUCAUACCUUGGACAGCACCCCCUCCGGAGCCAGACCCUCUUCCCACGAGGCUUUGGGGCAGCAGUGGGGGCAGGGGAGGACAUGCGCCUUUGGAUGGGGGUCCUGGCAACUGGAGCGCAAGUGGAAUGUGCCGACUCAGGGCGGAGGGUGCGGGCAGCGAGGGGUCAUGGCAUUUGGGAGCCCCCCUUGCUUACAAACCGUCGGGUCUCAAGCUCUUUUUUCCCCUCUUAAGCCUGGGGGUGGCUUCUCCACGUUGGAAAUCUUGGGAGGCAGGGGCACCAGUGACGCCUCGCCUCCCGGCUCCUGCCUGGCGCCACCUUUUCCCUCACCUCCCUUACAAACCCCCGGGAUGCUGAGGACGGUGGGACGCAGGCCCUCCAGGCCUCACGGUGACCAGGAACCACUGUGCCCACCUGUAUCUCCUCCACAGGCACGACCCUCCCCUGGCCCACAGCGGCUCUGUGGUCACCUUGGUGAGACGCGUUCUCACCCACGAGUCAUCUCAGGUGGCAAAUUGGUCACAAACGCCUGAUUCGUGUGGAUUAAGCAUCACACUACCUUCCUAGGGGCCGUGUCCAUACCAAGACUACUUAGAUUCUGAAAGCUGGGGUGCCCGGACACCCCAAGAAGUGGAGGCGCCUGUGGCCAGACCAGCGCCUGAUCUGAAUGUGACAGCCAAGAUCGUCCCAUGAUCUGGUCUUACCUCAUCUAGUGGAGAAAGGGGGUUUUCACGGUCAAUCUCACCUCUGACUCUGCUCUCAGCUUCAACUCAUUUGCCCAACACAAGGAUACAUGGGCUGCAGAUGCCCACCGGCGGCUUUUCUAAGACACCAGGGAGCCUUCGGGGUUUUACCACCUGUCUGCGUGGACCAAGUCUCCUUAAGUCACGGGGGUGGGGGGAACAUUCUUGAUUGGCAGGGUGGUGGAAUUUUCUCAAUGAAGAGAAAUGAUACUUAGUUCACAGUAAUAACAGGUCCCCACGGCUCGCAUCCACCCAGGGGAGUGCCCCUGGUUCCCUGUCUGGUUAGCGCCUGGCCAGCGCCCAGCCGUCUAAGACAAGGACAAAGCUGUGAGUCUCUGCUCAGUCCCGAGCUCCAGCACCUGCCCACUAAGGGUGUGUGCGUGCCUGUGUGCGUGUGCAUGUGGGUCAGAGUGUGUGAGUGAGUGUGUGUGUGUGUGUGUGUGCUGCUCAGGUGUCCCAACGGCAUGGAAAUCUGAUGGCUUGCUAUCUGGCCCCACAGAGCAGUAUUUCAUGGCUUUGAAACAAAAAUAAAUAAAUAAAUAAAUAAAAAGAUAAAGU